rnacentral:rRNA from 1 species
GACGAACGCUGGCGGCGUGCUUAACACAUGCAAGUCGAACGAAGAGCGAUGGAAGCUUGCUUCUAUCAAUCUUAGUGGCGAACGGGUGAGUAACGCGUAAUCAACCUGCCCUUCAGAGGGGGACAACAGUUGGAAACGACUGCUAAUACCGCAUACGAUCUAACCUCGGCAUCGAGGAUAGAUGAAAGGUGGCCUCUACAUGUAAGCUAUCACUGAAGGAGGGGAUUGCGUCUGAUUAGCUAGUUGGAGGGGUAACGGCCCACCAAGGCGAUGAUCAGUAGCCGGUCUGAGAGGAUGAACGGCUACAUUGGGACUGAGACACGGCCCAGACUCCUACGGGAGGCAGCAGUGGGGAAUCUUCCGCAAUGGACGAAAGUCUGACGGAGCAACGCCGCGUGAGUGAUGACGGCCUUCGGGUUGUAAAGCUCUGUUAAUCGGGACGAAAGGCCUUCUUGCGAAUAGGGAGAAGGAUUGACGGUACCGGAAUAGAAAGCCACGGCUAACUACGUG